GGGCCCGUAGCUCAGCCUGGUCGGAGCGUCCGGCUGAUAACCGGAAGGUCGAGGGUUCGAAUCCCUCCGGGCCCA
rnacentral:tRNA from 1 species